GGCUCGGUAGCUUAGUUGGUAAGGCACCUGUCUAGUGCAUAAUGAUCGUGAGAUCAAAUCUCACCUGAGUUG
rnacentral:tRNA from 1 species